UGCUGCUGAGGUCACAGCAGGGAACUGAUGAGCUGACCUCUGACCCUCAGGAACACUUUAACUGUGACACUCAAUAUUCACACCAUGCAGAAAAUUAAACAGAGUGUUUUCCCGCUAAAACCAGGUGAGGCCGAGCUGUCAGAGCCUACAGGAGAUUAACGGAGACCUUCCGGUCACCCCCGCUGGAACAAUGAGGGGCCGUGAUAUCUGUCGGCCCUGGAGACCAGGAUCCAUUCAGACCAGGAUCCAUUCAGACCAGGAUCCAUUCAAGCCAAACAAAGGGCUCCGACACACCGAGCAGCCGCAGACACACCGCCGGGUUCAGGCCGCCUGCUGCCCGGCUGCCUGUCACACACCUGCGGCCCGGCUCGUCUUUCAUCCCGCAGAGGGACCCGGACCGGGACGUUGAACCCGGGUCUGCUGCAGAACCUCGAUGGCAGGACGUUUUAACAUUUAAUGGAACCACACUCCUCUCUGUGAAGUGUCUCACCUGGAUCAGUCUCUCACCUUUGACAGUCGAAGUAGUAAAACAUGACACCUUCCAGUCGGCACUGAGGGAACACAACCCUGCUGCCGCUGUGUAAACAGUCAGUGUGCAGAUCUCCACAUGAAACAUCUGCUGCAGUAAAACAGCAGAAACGUUCUGCAUUUUGCAGCCGAGUGUGAAGCAGCUGGGAUGAGAAUCAGAACCUCCGAGUCUGAGGCCAGGAAGAGGGAAGUCUGGGAGUCCCAGCUCAGACAGCUGCCCCCGCAACCCGGCCCUGGAUAACACGGAGGAAGAUGGAUGGAUGGAUGGAUGGAUGAAUGGAUGAUGGAUGGAUGGAUAGGAUGAUGGAUGGAUGAUGAAUGGAUGAUGGAUGGAUGGAUGGAUGGA